UACGUAGGGGGCAAGCGUUGUCCGGAAUCAUUGGGCGUAAAGCGCGUGUAGGCGGCCUUGUAAGUCCGUUCUGAAAGCCCGGGGCUCAACCCCGGGAGGCGGAUGGAUACUGCAAGGCUCGAGUCCGGAAGAGGCGAGUGGAAUUCCCGGUGUAGCGGUGAAAUGCGCAGAUAUCGGGAGGAACACCAAUGGCGAAGGCAGCCCGCUGGGACGGUACUGACGCUGAGACGCGAAAGCGUGGGGAGCAAACAGG
rnacentral:rRNA from 1 species